rnacentral:misc_RNA from 1 species
GAUGAAGAACGUAGCGAAAUGCGAUAAGUAAUGUGAAUUGCAGAAUUCAGUGAAUCAUCGAAUCUUUGAACGCACAUUGCGCCCGCCAGUAUUCUGGCGGGCAUGCCUGCUCGAGCGUCAUUACAACCCUCAGGCCCCCGGGCCUGGCGUUGGGGAUCGGCGGAAGCCCCCUGCGGGCACAACGCCGUCCCCCAAAUACAGUGGCGGUCCCGCCGCAGCUUCCAUUGCGUAGUAGCUAACACCUCGCAACUGGAGAGCGGCGCGGCCACGCCGUAAAACACCCAACUUCUGAAUGUUGACCUCGAAUCAGGUAGGAAUACCCGCUGAACUUAAGCAUAUCAAUAAGCGGAGGA